UACGAAGGGGGCGAGCGUUGUUCGGAAUUACUGGGCGUAAAGGGCGCGCAGGCGGCUCUGAAAGUCAGAUGUGAAAGCCCCGGGCUUAACCUGGGAAUUGCAUUUGAUACUCUGGAGCUUGAGUACGGGAGAGGAGAGUGGAAUUCCCAGUGUAGAGGUGAAAUUCGUAGAUAUUGGGAAGAACACCGGUGGCGAAGGCGGCUCUCUGGACCGUAACUGACGCUGAGGCGCGAAAGCGUGGGGAGCAACAGG
rnacentral:rRNA from 1 species